rnacentral:rRNA from 1 species
UACGGAGGAUGCAAGCGUUAUCCGGAUUUAUUGGGUUUAAAGGGUGCGCAGGUUGUUUGAUAAGUCAGUGGUGAAAGUCUGUCGCUUAACGGUAGGAUUGCCAUUGAUACUGUUGGACUUGAAUAUGGAUGAGGUAGGCGGAAUGUGUAGUGUAGCGGUGAAAUGCAUAGAUAUUACACAGAACACCGAUUGCGUAGGCAGCUUACUGAGCCGACACUGACGCUGAGGCACGAAAGCGUGGGGAUCGAACAGGA